GUGCCCUUCCCCUCUACAACGCUCAUGACCUCCAUUAAUUAGGAUGGUUCACAAUGUGGUGGCUGGCUUCCCUCAGAAUAAGAAUGAGAGUAAGUAAGAAGGAAACCAGAGAUCUUCCUAAUCUAAUUUCUGAGACUUGCUCUUGGAACCCAGCUGCAGCCACAUUGUGAGGAAGUCCAAGAGGUUCCACUGCCUGCUGUCAUCAAUUGCCAGAUAUGUGAAUCAAGAUGUUUCGGAUGAUUCCAGGCCACAUCUGUUAAUUCCCAUCAGACUUCAUGUCUUUCUGCUGAGGCCAAAGACAUCAAUGAGUAGAGCAAGCAAUCACUGUUCCAUCCUUGAAUUCCUAAGCCCUAGAAUCCUUGAACAUAAUGAUAUAGCUUUUUUAUAUUUCAAAAUUUGAGUGAAUUGUUAUUCAACAAUAGUAACUAGAACAAACACCAACUACUUAUCCCUUUAUUUGUGCCAAAUAAGUCUCUU